CCUACGGGCGGCAGCAGUGGGGAAUAUUGCACAAUGGGGGGAACCCUGAUGCAGCGACGCCGCGUGGGUGAGGAAGUACUUCGGUAUGUAAAGCCCUAUCAGUAGGGAAGAAAAUGACGGUACCUGACUAAGAAGCCCCGGCUAACGACGUGCCAGCAGCCGCGGUAAUACGUAGGGGGCAAGCGUUAUCCGGAUUUACGGGGUGAAAAGGGAGCGUAGACGGCGUGCCAAGUCUGAUGUGAAAGGCAGGGGCUCAACCCCGGGACUGCAUUGGAAACUGGCAUGCUGGAGUGCCGUAGGGGCAAGCGGAAUUCCUAGUGUAGCGGUGAAAUGCGUAGAUAUCACGAAGAACCCCGGUUGCGAAGGCAGCUUACUGAGCUGUGACUGACAUUGAUGCUCGAAAGUGUGGGUAUCAAACAGGAUUAGAUACCCCAGUAGUC
rnacentral:rRNA from 1 species